rnacentral:tRNA from 1 species
GCUGGAGUAGUCUAGUGGUUAUGAUGUCGCCUUUACACGGCGAAGGUCGUGGGUUCGAUCCCCAUCUCUAGUA